rnacentral:misc_RNA from 1 species
GCUCCACUAGAGUGGUUACCUUCGGCGCCAGCCCCUUUACCAUCCUUAACAGCCCAUCACGGGGGUUGUUGACAUCGACACUCUCGUCAGGGGUGUGGUGCAGCUGAAGAGUAAAGUUGACAGCAAGCGCCUCACCAGGCCGGAUAUCCAACAUCUCCCGUGUAACCUUUGGCACAUAGACCGGAAGAGAGUGAAACUCGAGAGGGAUAUUGAAUUUCUCCGACAUAUCGGAUAGCAUUUCGCCAACGAGACGCAAGUUGUCCCCUCGGGCAUACGCUGACACCGG